rnacentral:rRNA from 1 species
GCGCACCAGUCGAGAAACUUUACAAUGUGCGAAAGCACGAUAAGGGAACUCUGAGUGCCUCCUAAGGAGGCUGUUCAGGUGUCUAAAAGCACCUGAAGGAAGGGCUGGGUAAGACCGGUGCCAGCCGCCGCGGUAACACCGGCAGCCCAAGUGGUAGCCACGUUUAUUGGGUCUAAAGCGUCCGUAGCCGGCUGGGUAAGUUCCUUGGGAAAUUUGGCUGCUUAACAGUCAAGCUUUCAGGGAAUACUGCCCGGCUUGGGACCGGGAGAGGUCAGAGGUACUCCAGGGGUAGGGGUGAAAUCCAUUAAUCCUUGGGGGACCACCGGUAGCGAAGGCGUCUGACCAGACCGGGUCCGACGGUGAGGGACGAAGGCUAGGGGCGCGAACCGGAUUAGAUA